rnacentral:sRNA from 1 species
UAUCACAAUAUGGAAAUGAGACGCACGG